rnacentral:rRNA from 1 species
UGGCGGACGGGUGAGUAAUGUCUAGGGAAACUGCCGAUGGAGGGGGAUAACUACUGGAAACGGUAGCUAAUACCGCAUAACGUCGCAAGACCAAAGAGGGGGACCUUAGGGCCUCUUGCCAUCGGAUGUGCCCAGAUGGGAUUAGCUAGUAGGUGGGGUAACGGCUCACCUAGGCGACGAUCCCUAGCUGGUCUGAGAGGAUGACCAGCCACACUGGAACUGAGACACGGUCCAG